GCCCGGGUGGCGUAAUGGUAGCCGCGCAACACUUAAAAUGUUGUUCUCGUUUGAGAGUGUGGGUUCGAUUCCCACCUCGGGCA
rnacentral:tRNA from 1 species